rnacentral:rRNA from 1 species
UACGUAGGCAGCGAGCGUUGUUCGGAGUUACUGGGCGUAAAGAGUGCGUAGGCGGCAUGGCAAGUCUGGUGUGAAAUCUCCCGGCUCAACCGGGAGGGUGCGCCGGAGACUGCCAAGCUGGGAGUACGGGAGAGGCACGUGGAAUUCCUGGUGUAGCGGUGAAAUGCGUAGAGAUCAGGAGGAACACCGGUGGCGAAGGCGGCGACCUGGUCCUUGACUGACGCUGAGGCGCGAGAGCGUGGGGAGCAAACAGG